GUAUUGUACACAGGGCAGAAAGUACACAUUCCUUGCAACAAGGAUGAAAGAGAAUCUUGGUCCCAUUCGAUGCCUAUCUUGUUAGGACAUUGACAUCUGCUUCAUAGCAUCUAACCAUGGUUUUAA